rnacentral:rRNA from 1 species
GCAGUCCGACGUGAAAGGGGAGCAAUCCCCCGGUAGGGUGGCAAACGGGUGAGUAAGACAUGGGUGAUCUGCCCUGGAGAUGGGGAUAUCCCUCCGAAAGGGGGGGCAAUACCGAAUAGUAUCCGGUUCCGUGAAGGGGGCCGGGGAAAGGGAGGCCUCUGGUACAAGCUUCCGCUCCUGGAUGAGCCCAUGGCCCAUCAGCUAGUUGGUAGGGUAAAGGCCUACCAAGGCGACGACGGGUAGCUGGUCUGAGAGGACAACCAGCCACACUGGCACUGAGACACGGGCCAGACUCCUACGGGAGGCAGCAGUGAGGAAUAUUGCGCAAUGGGGGCAACCCUGACGCAGCAACGCCGCGUGUGGGAAGAAGGCUUUCGGGUUGUAAACCACUUUUGCCCGGGACGAAAGGGGGGGCCUGAAUAAGGUCACCCGAUGACGGUACCGGGAGAAUAAGCCACAGCUAACUCUGUGCCAGCAGCCGCGGUAAGACAGAGGUGGCAAGCGUUGUUCGGAGUUACUGGGCGUAAAGGGCGUGUAGGCGGUGCGAUACGUAGUGGUUUUAAGCCUCCGGCUCACCCGGAGGAGGGCGGCUAAACGGUCGCACUGGAGGGCAGGAGAGGUGCGUGGAAUUCCUGGUGGAGCGGUGAAAUGCGUA